rnacentral:rRNA from 1 species
GACGAACGCUGGCGGCGUGCUUAACACAUGCAAGUCGAACGGAAAGGCCCCUUUGGGGGUACUCGAGUGGCGAACGGGUGAGUAACACGUGAGUAACCUGCCCUUGACUUCGGGAUAACUUCAGGAAACUGGGGCUAAUACCGGAUAGGAAUCCUUGCUGCAUGGUGGGGGUUGGAAAGCUUCGGCGGUUUUGGAUGGACUCGCGGCUUAUCAGCUUGUUGGUGGGGUAGUGGCUUACCAAGGCUUUGACGGGUAGCCGGCCUGAGAGGGCGACCGGCCACAUUGGGACUGAGAUACGGCCCAGACUCCUACGGGAGGCAGCAGUGGGGAAUAUUGCACAAUGGGCGGAAGCCUGAUGCAGCAACGCCGCGUGCGGGAUGACGGCCUUCGGGUUGUGAACCGCUUUCAGCAGGGGCGAAGCUUGUGGUGACGGUACCUGCAGAAGAAGCACCGGCUAACUACGUG